UACGGAGGGUGCAAGCGUUACUCGGAAUCACUGGGCGUAAAGAGCGCGUAGGCGGGAUAGCAAGUCAGAUGUGAAAUCCUAUGGCUUAACCAUAGAACUGCAUUUGAAACUGUUAUUCUAGAGUAUGGGAGAGGUAGGUGGAAUUCUUGGUGUAGGGGUAAAAUCCGUAGAGAUCAAGAGGAAUACUCAUUGCGAAGGCGGCCACCUGGACCGGUAUUGACGCUGAGGCGCGAAAGCGUGGGUAUCGAACAGG
rnacentral:rRNA from 1 species